AGGAGCAUCAGGGCGACUAACGCUUGGACUCGUUCAAUAUAAAAUCGAGUUUUCAAGCGAGGAAAAUCCUCCUCCCAUGAGCAGCGCUCCUUGUAAGAGGACAGCCGAGAGGCUGUGUUUCUGGAACAGAAACGAUACUCGCUGUGUUAAUGCGGUGAAGUUGCAAAACAGAGAUCGCACAGGACGAGAUGAAACGGCAAGAGCGCGCGGGUGCAAGCCAAAAUACUUGCCUAUGACUGCUAAAGAGGCGAGAAGUAGGCGCUUAGUAAAAUGUCGUCACUCUCUGCAUAAGAGAGCAACUCGAAUGUGAAAUAAAAUUCGAGUAAGAGAACAAAAGAGGAUUUACUCGAUGCUCCU
rnacentral:RNase_P_RNA from 1 species